UGGGAUAACCUAUCCUAAGUGUGGAUAGUUAGACCUCAGCUGAGCCGCAAAAUCGAAGAAGUUUCAUUCAGAUUAUAAAAGGCGAAUUGCAAUAUUUGAGCGCAUUUUCUUUCAGUGCCAGUACAACUGACGAGAGAGAGAAGACACGCGCCUCCGAUUAAAGUAUAAAUUGGUUUGACCCAAGCUAAGAUGGCGGUCCCUAGCAUUCCUGCACUUCACCUAGCCGGCGAGUCUUGCUCGGAACCAGCAAACAAAAGUUGAAUCUCUGGAGUGGAGUGGCAUAGGAGUCGUGGGACUGGCGAAAUUACUCACUAGAGACUGAAGCUCAAUGCCUAUUUCCUACUGAAGUUCCAUCAAAACUUCCCAUCGAGAAUAAUGUGUUUUUCUCCCUUGAUUUUGUCACUCAAUCCCAUCUGAGUAAUUUACCUAAAGUUAGUCAUUUUCUAUUGUCCAGACUUA